GGAUGUGAGGGCGAUCUGGCUUCGACAUCUGUCACCUCAUUGGUCGCCAGGGUUGAUUCAGCUGAUUUGGCUGGCUAAGCGGGUAUCCCCUUCUUCCCUCACCGCUCCAUGUGCUCCCGCAGCUGCAUGCUCGGUUGCAGAGGACAGCCUUUCUUGAAUAGAGAUGGACCGGUCUUCGGUCGAGGGUAUACGAGUAGCUCCACUCCCCUACUAGAACCUCCAAACAAGCUCUCAAAAGUCAUCAGCACUUUCAAAAUGGUGACCCUAAAUCCAAGCCUUAUUCAGUUGAUUAUUCUCU
ensembl:misc_RNA 7SK 7SK RNA